rnacentral:rRNA from 1 species
GAUGAACGCUGGCGGCGUGCCUAAUACAUGCAAGUCGAGCGAACAGACGAGGAGCUUGCUCCUCUGACGUUAGCGGCGGACGGGUGAGUAACACGUGGAUAACCUACCUAUAAGACUGGGAUAACUUCGGGAAACCGGAGCUAAUACCGGAUAAUAUAUUGAACCGCAUGGUUCAAUAGUGAAAGACGGUUUUGCUGUCACUUAUAGAUGGAUCCGCGCCGCAUUAGCUAGUUGGUAAGGUAACGGCUUACCAAGGCGACGAUGCGUAGCCGACCUGAGAGGGGGAGCGGCCACACGGGAACUGAGACACGGUCCAGACGCGUACGGGAGGCAGCAGUAGGGAAUCUUCCGCAAUGGGCGAAUGCCUGACGGAGCAACGCCGCGUGAGUGAUGAAGGUCUUCGGAUCGUAAAACUCUGUUAUUAGGGAAGAACAAAUGUGUAAGUAACUAUGCACGUCUUGACGGUACCGAAUCAGAAAGCCACGGCUAACUACGU